GGAUUAUGGCUCAGUGGUAGAGCACUUGCCUAGCAUGUGUGAGGCACUGUGUUCAAUCCUCAGCACCA
rnacentral:tRNA from 1 species